CCUACGGGAGGCAGCAGUGAGGAAUAUUGGUCAAUGGACGGAAGUCUGAACCAGCCAUGCCGCGUGCAGGAAGACGGCUCUAUGAGUUGUAAACUGCUUUUGUACAAGGGUAAACCGGAAUACGUGUAUGCAGCUGAAAGGACUGUACGAAUAAGGAACGGCUAACUCCGUGCCAGCAGCCGCGGUAAUACGGAGGCUCCAAGCGUUAUCCGGAUUUAUUGGGUUUAAAGGGUGCGUAGGCGGUUUGAUAAGUUCGAGGUGAAAUGUCCGCGCUUAACUCGGGAACUGCCUCUAAUACUGUUGUUCUAGAGCGUAGCUGCGGUAGGCGGAAUGUCUGGUGUAGCGGUGAAAUGCUU
rnacentral:rRNA from 1 species